CUCCUACGGGAGGCAGCAGUAAGGAAUAUUGGUCAAUGGACGAAAGUCUGAACCAGCCAUCCCGCGUGCAGGAAGAAGGGGCUCUGCCUUGUAAACUGCUUUUGAAUGGGACGAAAGAGCUAUAUGCGUAUAGUGUUGACGGUACCAUUAGAAUAAGCACCGGCUAACUCCGUGCCAGCGCCGCGGUAA
rnacentral:rRNA from 1 species